rnacentral:rRNA from 1 species
UUGCUUUUGAAAGGUUAGCGGCGGACGGGUGAGUAACACGUGGGCAACCUGCCCUAUAGUUUGGGAUAACUCCGGGAAACCGGGGCUAAUACCGGAUAAUACAAUUUAACUCCUGUUAGAUUGUUGAAAGAUGGUUUCGGCUAUCGCUAUAGGAUGGGCCCGCGGCGCAUUAGCUAGUUGGUAGGGUAACGGCCUACCAAGGCGACGAUGCGUAGCCGACCUGAGAGGGUGAUCGGCCACACUGGGACUGAGACACGGCCCAGACUCCUACGGGAGGCAGCAGUAGGGAAUCUUCCACAAUGGACGAAAGUCUGAUGAAGCAACGCCGCGUGAGUGAAGAAGGUUUUCGGAUCGUAAAACUCUGUUGUAAGGGAAGAACAA